UACAGCCGUAUCACGUUGAAACACCGGUUUACGUACGAUUACCGGAGUUAAGCAACAUGGAGCCUGGUCAGUACCUAAAUGGGUGACAGCUUGGGAAUACCAGAUGCUGUAA